CAGUAGCCGCGGGAAUACAGAGGGUGCGAGCGUUAAUCGGAUUUACUGGGCGUAAAGCGUGCGCAGGCGGUUAUAUAAGACAGAUGUGAAAUCCCCGGGCUCAACCUGGGAACUGCAUUUGUGACUGUAUAGCUAGAGUACGGCAGAGGGGGAUGGAAUUCCGCGUGUAGCAGUGAAAUGCGUAGAUAUGCGGAGGAACACCGAUGGCGAAGGCAAUCCCCUGGGCCUGUACUGACGCUCAUGCACGAAAGCGUGGGGAGCAAACAGGAUUAGAUACCCGCGUAGUCCCUGUCUCUUAUAC
rnacentral:rRNA from 1 species